rnacentral:lncRNA from 1 species
AAAAAAAAAAGAAAAUAUAGUGAUCUGUAUUCAUGAUUAGCCUUAUAAAAAUUUGAAUUGCUGAUAGUGAUGGUCUCUUGGAAAGUAAAGAACAUUUGUGUGGUCAUACCUGAGAAAUCAUGGAACAGAAGGUUAACCAUUGUCAGCUAGUUAACUCUGCUGUGUUUAGUUUUUAGAAACUGUAAAUAGUCUUCUAAAGUGAUA